GGUUGGGGAGGUGGGGGGAAGCGAAGCCCUAAGAUGGGCGGAGAGAAGCAGAUGUGGAGGUGAUGGCGAAGACCCAGAUAUAAGCAGUUGGUGAGUUCCAUGAGGAGACUGCAACUUCUCCACCCUGUGCCCCUCCAGAUCCCUCAUGCUGCUCUGUGUCCUCCAGGGUUGGCCUGUCCAAGUUCAACAGUGGGCUUCCACACCCUCCCACUUCCAGCUGGGUUGGCCAAGGACUUUCAACUGCGGCACCAGAAGGGACCUUAUAGCUGAGAAAAUUGAAGCUCAGAGAGCUGCAGCAGCUUGCCCAGCAUCAUACGGCACUGGAAAUGGUCAGCCAAUGUGUUCCGUAGAGCACGGAGCCAUAACAAAAGAGUCUGUGGGUGUCACCCGCCCGUCUGCCAGCCUGCAGGAUCAGGUAUCGGAGGCCUUCAGGACUCUCGUAGGCUGCCUUGGCAUCUCUGCACCACACUUAUGCCUGGCCCCCAUUCGGCAGGCAGAUCCAAUCCCUGGGAGGAUAAGGGUGUGUUCUGGAAGCUGGCAGUGCCCCCUGGUGAAGCCCUCAGAAGCCUGGGGCGAGAGCUGUCACCUCCCCCACAGAGAAAGCUGGAAUCGAUUCCUCUCUCACCACUCCCUUGGAAAGAACAGCAACACAAGGGAAGGCCUGUUAUUGGUGGAGGGUUUGUCCUGAGAGAGCAGCAGGUACAUAAAAAAAUAGCUGGGGCAACACGCCGGCCUCGGACCCAGCCUGUGCAGCCCAAAACGGGGGCACAGAUCCGUCCCGCCCCACCCUUGCUGCUGAGUUGGGUCUGGGCCCCUCCUGGUAGCCGGGGUAUGGAGGACCCUGGCUGCUGCCCCUGCCUCCUCGCCGGGACCUGACUUUCCCUCUGCCCCCCACUGGGAACUGGCCAGAGUGUUUUUACUAACAAGCUAGCCAUGUCACAAUCUCAACAGAGAGAGACGGGCGUGGGGAGGAAGAGAGAGGGAGACAGAGACAGAGAAAAGAAAGG